UACGUAGGGGGCAAGCGUUGUCCGGAUUUACUGGGCGUAAAGCGCGUGUAGGCGGCCUGUCAAGUCCGGCCUGAAAGCCCCCCGCUCAACGGGGGAGGGUGGCUGGAAACUGGCAGGCUUGAGGGCGAGAGAGGAGGGUGGAAUUCCUGGUGUAGCGGUGAAAUGCGUAGAGAUCAGGAGGAACACCAGUGGCGAAGGCGGUUACCUGGAGCUUUGCUGACGCUGAUGCGCGAAAGCGUGGGGAGCGAUCCGG
rnacentral:rRNA from 1 species